rnacentral:rRNA from 1 species
GACGUAGGGGGCAAGCGUUGUCCGGAAUCAUUGGGCGUAAAGAGCGCGUAGGCGGUCCGAUAAGUCGGUUGUGAAAACUGGGGGCUCAACCCUCAGAGGCCGACCGAUACUGUCGGGCUAGAGUCCGGAAGAGGCGAGUGGAAUUCCUGGUGUAGCGGUGAAAUGCGUUGAUAUCAGGAGGAACACCCAUGGCGAAGGCAGCAAACUGGGCAUCAUCUGACGCUGAGGCGCGAAAGCGUGGGUAGCAAACAGG